CAGUAGCCACGGUAAUACGUAGGGUGCAAGCGUUAAUCGGAAUUACUGGGCGUAAAGCGUGCGCAGGCGGUUUGUUAAGACAGAUGUGAAAUCCCCGGGCUCAACCUGGGAACUGCAUUUGUGACUGGCAAGCUAGAGUCUGGCAGAGGGGGGUGGAAUUCCGCGUGUAGCAGUGAAAUGCGUAGAUAUGCGGAGGAACACCGAUGGCGAAGGCAGCCCCCUGGGCCAACACUGACGCUCAUGCACGAAAGCGUGGGGAGCAAACAGGAUUAGAUACCCCGGUAGUCCCUGUCUCUUAUAA
rnacentral:rRNA from 1 species